UACGGAGGGUGCGAGCGUUGUCCGGAAUCAUUGGGCGUAAAGGGCGCGUAGGUGGCCUGCUAAGCGUGCGGUGAAAGCUCGGGGCUCAACCCCGAGUCGGCCGUGCGAACUGGUGGGCUUGAGCACUGUAGAGGCAGGCGGAAUUCCGGGUGUAGCGGUGGAAUGCGUAGAGAUCCGGAAGAACACCGGUGGCGAAGGCAGCUGACGAAACUGUAACUGACGCUGAUGCACGAAAGCGUGGGGAUCAAACAGG
rnacentral:rRNA from 1 species